rnacentral:rRNA from 1 species
UAACAGUGAAGCGGCAACAGCUCAAAUUUGAAAUCUGGCCCCUAUUCCGAGUUGUAAUUUGUAGAGAGCGUUUCGGGCGAGUCCGCGGUCCAAGUCUAUUGGAACAUAGCGUCAUAGAGGGUGAGAAUCCCGUACGCGACCGCGGCACGAGCCCAUAUGAGACCUCUUCGACGAGUCGAGUUGUUUGGGAAUGCAGCUCAAAAUGGGUGGUAAAUUCCAUCUAAAGCUAAAUACCGGCUGGAGACCGAUAGCGCACAAGUAGAGUGAUCGAAAGACGAAAAGCACUUUGGAAAGAGAGUUAAACAGUACGUGAAAUUGUUGAAAGGGAAGCGCUUGCGACCAGACCUGCCCGUAGGUGAUCAGCCGCUGUUCUCAGCGGUGCAUUCACUCUGCGAUCAGGCCAGCAUCGGUUUGGGCGGUCGGAUAAAGGCCCCGGUAAUGUAGCUCCCUUCCGGGGGAGUCUUAUAGCCCGGGGCGCCAUGCGGCCAGCCGAGACCGAGGACCGCGCUUCGGCUAGGAUGCUGGCGUAAUGGUCGUAAGCGACCCGUCUUGAAACACGGACCAAGGAGUCUAACAUCUAUGCGAGUGUUUGGGUGUCAAACCCAUGCGCGGAAUGAAAGUGAACGGAGGUGAGAGCCCUGAAGGGCGCAUCAUCGACCGAUCCAGAUGUCUUCGGAUGGAUUUGAGUAUGAGCAUAGCUGUUGGGACCCGAAAGAUGGUGAACUAUGCCUGAAUAGGGUGAAGCCAGAGGAAACUCUGGUGGAGGCUCGCAGCGUUCUGACGUGCAAAUCGAUCGUCAAAUUUGGGUAUAGGGGCGAAAGACUAAUCG